AUUCACAUUCACUCACAUGUCAAACACUGAAAUCUGUUCCAGAGUCAGAGACACACACACAAACGUGAUUUCAGGAUAAUUUUGAUAAAAAAGCUUAAAGUAAUGAAAGAUUAUUUCUGAUUUGAACGUGAACAUUAGUGUGAGUACUGCGUCAGUUAUGUUGGGUUCAGUGUGUAGUGACGAGUUCAUAAAGAAAAGACACACAUCAGUGUUCAGGACUCGGAGUGAAGUUCACACUUCCCAGGGUUUAUAUAUUUAAUAAAAACUAAAACUAUUAGUGAAUAAAUAAUUUUGCUAACUAAAGUAAAAAUAAAAACAGUUUUUUAAAAUUAAAAAUAACAAUUCCAGUGAACAAUGCAACACAAACUAAAAUGAAAUAGAAGUGCAGGUAAAAUCAGGUUCGGUUUUGUUUGGGUUCCCCUCGACUCAGCCAUGCACGCAUUCCAGAAGGUGGCAGUAAUGUGAUACCGGCUGCCGUAAAACAACAAGGAAGAAGAAGCUGCUCAGUGUGUAAAUAUAAAGCCUAUAAUACACUAGAAUCAUAGAUCUUUGAGAGAAUAUACCACAAUAGAGCGACAUAAUUCCUCUCUGUGGGUGCAAAAGUGGAACAGUUCCAGUCUCAUAAGUGGGCGUGUCACUGUGCGUCACAGACGGACCUCCUCAUUGCCAUGAAUGGAGCGCGGGAUCGUUCUGGUCUGCGUAAAUGACAGGGUUCUCAUUACAGUGAUUUAUAUCUGGAAUGAUGGGAGUAGAAGAGAUUUAUUUAAAGGAUUAGACGACGCUGACGUUCAACACGUUCAGAGUCACAAACCCUGUUUGUCGCGUAUUUCUGUUCUUGUUAAACCUGAUUUCAGUGUUAAAACACAACACCGUGUAUAAAAUGGGAUAUCUGUGAUAAGGAUCAGCGAACCGAUAAGAUGUUUAAUAGUGUCCCAGUGAACAGAUUGUGUCCUUGUGCUGUGGUUAUUAUGGGAUUUCUGUGGCUGUGCAACACCAACACUACGACUAAACUAAAACUAGUCGGUCCCUCAAAUUAAAAUGACCCCACUUCUGCACUUGUAAACUAACUAAAAUUAAACUGUAAUUUGAAUAGAAAUGGAAUGAAUCGGGUCGACACCAGGUGCGCGGCGCUGUGAUCUACAGAGCUCCAGGAAGAUGCAGGUAAAGACGGAGCUCUGUAAAAAUCGCAGUAUAGAGCUCGAUCUCUGAUUAAAAUGACGCCUCGGUGCUGCUUUGGACCUCAUUGGGUCAUUCCAUAUCAAUUCACACACCCUCCCCAGGUGACCCUCUUCGAUUUGCCUGAUAUUCGACACACAGGUACCUUUUGAUGCCAAUGGAAAGAAUCCCAAGUUUUAGCAUCCUACGUCUAACGGUUUUGGAGAUGAGGCCCUCCAAAGUGUGGGUGCCAUGCCCACUUUUCAAGUCUGUGAAUUGCAUACAGAAUUUACAAGCAUAUUUGGACACCUCUAGUUUUAGAUUGAAAGAAGAUACAGGCCUAAAAAUCGCCAUGUCCCCUCAGCAUGACCUUGUCUAACAGAUGGUGUACUUAAGAAUAGCAUAGCUUGACUGUUUCUGCAUAUAUUAAGCCUUGAAAACUGUAAGUGUGAAAAGGGUGAUGAAGAGUCUUGACAUUUUGGGGUUCCAGAUCUUGGAAACUAUGAAUGCUGUGGGAGGUAUCAUUGAUUUUCCAUCAUAUUUGGUAACUGUACUGUGUAUUCAAAAAAGUGUGCGGACACUCAGACCUUAAAUGACAGAAUAGGAGGUACACAAAAAUGGCUUUGGGAGAAAAUGACCCUACGGUACCCCCUACUUCAUGCUCCAAUUUAACCAUGUGGGCACUUGAUGAGUGGAAUGCCCUUUUAACCCCAUGCACAGUAACACUGUAUCAAACAUUCAAGCUUUGAAGAACUUUGUUUUUCAGAGUUCUUCAUACUAAUUUAGGCCUUCGAAAUAUGGGGAAAUUUGUCCCUUUUUCAUCACAGUAGCUGGGUUUCUGCUGCCAUCUGCUGGCCAAAAAAGUAACAACAGCAUAAAUUAUGAAAACACCCAGGAGGAAGUCACAAGAAAAACACAUUUUUUAUUCACCCAUAAACCAUUUUCACACGCAGAAAGUAUGUUAACUGUUUAACCACAUACUCAUGACAAAAUUGAGGUUAUUGAAAGAUGGGUGUGAGUGUGGAGUGGAAGUGUCUGGUAGAGAUGUAGUGCAGGGCUGAGGCCGUCUUGGGACUGUCACCAUCUUCUCAAUGUGUGACCAUCAUUGAGCACCUCAGUCCUCUGAUGUGUUUGGCUGAGCUGGAUGGCAGGCUGGCUGCAGUCAGGGGAGAGAGGACAAACGAUCAGGUGUGGGUCCAGAGCCAGAAGAGUGGAGUGAUGGGGCAGGGCCUCCAGUGCUGGUUUCAGCAGGAAGAGGCAUCCAGGGCCGGGGGUGGAGUGGAGUAUUGAGGAGUGAAUAUGUGCCGUAUAAGUCUAUCCUUGAAUAUUCAUCCAUCUGGUAGAACUUCAUGACACGUUCUCUAACUUCAGCUGACAGUGGUUUUCCCUUGUUCACAUGCAGCUCACUAAGUAUUCCCUGUUGUUCUCUAACAGUCUUUGCUUUCCUCACCAUAUGAGUAGUGACAGAAAAUUCUUUAGCUACCUUUCUGAUACUCCAUGUAGCUCGGAGAAGUGUGAGGAUCUUGAUCUUUUCUUUUUUUGAUGCCACUUUACACUUCUUGUUAGGUUUAUAUAAGUAUUAAUUCUUGGCCAAGAAUUCAGCAAAAUUAUUCUGUGUCAAAAUUAUAUUAGUUGAAACGACCUUAGGUCCGGCUGGACAUUGUUUGGGAACAUUUUGUUUAUGAAAUGUGUAUUUUGAACAGAGAAGUGUCUGAAGGUCUAUUUUAGUGUCAGAUCGACCCACACACACCCUGAAAUGGUAGAAUUAAAGUUCAUGUUUAUGUUAAUCCAUUCAGUUGAAACUUAGGUCAUAGCUUCAUAAAAGCUAUGAAAUAUACUGAAAUAUAUUGAAAUAUACUAUGGUAGUGAUUUGGAUCCCGUAAUUAAUGAAUGCAUUCCGUGAUUAAUGUUAGUUUUAUAGUUCUAGAUUAGUUUCAUAAUGACAUUAUAAUUAUAGUUAAGAUCUUAUGAUUCUAAGGGUUUUUAAUUUAAAAGCAUUAACCUAAUUUAGUUAUGAGUUUAAUCCUGUUAGUUGUUUAAUUGUUCUCUCUCUUUCAGACAUAUUCUCAUUGUUCUUGUGUUUUAAGUUGUUCUUAUUUUUUAUGUUUAUUUUCUUAUAACAUUCUUUGUUUUAGCAUUAUUAAAGACAUAUUAUUUGUUAUUUUGCUUAUGUUGAUGAAAUCAAGAUGUAAUUUACUGACUGAACACACAUUUAUGUGUUAAGGAGUUAUGUUAAAUUAUUAGAUCCUUUCUGUGCAAACUAAUGUCUUUGACCUUCUCUGAAUAGACUCCGUAGACUAGACAUUCUGUGUUUAGACAUUCCAUGCUGAUAUCUAUCUGUACCUUACUGUCAUCAGAAAUAUGUUUUUAUAUUAUGAUUGAUUCAAGAUCAUUACACACUUCUAGACGCACACCCAUUACACACACACACACACACACACACACAUAUAUAAAGACAAAACAUAAACACAGACACUAUAAGACGUUUUCAAAAAUGUUUUCAUUUUGACGAAGUGACUGUGCGAAUAAACUGACGUGAAUCUCUGA